rnacentral:rRNA from 1 species
CCUACGGGUGGCAGCAGUGGGGAAUAUUGGACAAUGGGGGCAACCCUGAUCCAGCCAUGCCGCGUGUGUGAAGAAGGCCCUCGGGUUGUAAAGCACUUUCAGUGAGGAAGAACGCCUGGUGGUUAAUACCCAUCAGGAAAGACAUCACUCACAGAAGAAGCACCGGCUAACUCCGUGCCAGCAGCCGCGGUAAUACGGAGGGUGCGAGCGUUAAUCGGAAUUACUGGGCGUAAAGCGCGCGUAGGUGGCUUGAUAAGCCGGUUGUGAAAGCCCCGGGCUCAACCUGGGAACGGCAUCCGGAACUGUCAAGCUAGAGUGCAGGAGAGGAAGGUAGAAUUCCCGGUGUAGCGGUGAAAUGCGUAGAGAUCGGGAGGAAUACCAGUGGCGAAGGCGGCCUUCUGGACUGACACUGACACUGAGGUGCGAAAGCGUGGGUAGCAAACAGGAUUAGAUACCCCGGUAGUU